UCUCGUACGGUUUAAUGGCAAUGGCCGUUGGUUUGGUAGUGGUUUUGUGUCGUUUUUGUAUUAUUUCUUUAUUUUCUAAUAUUUCUUUAAGUGUUACUGGUUAAUUUAAUUGUGGUCUGUGAACUACACAUAUUUAAGUACUUUGUGGACAAUUUAUUAUUUGCGUAGAUCUCAGGAACUGGCAAUUAAAAUGCUGUGAACUCAGUAUACAGUUACUACUUGUCAAAAUAGCCUAGAAAAGGCUAAAAAUUUGGAAAAAUUAUUAAAUUUCAUGCUUUCCCGAAGAAUACCGAAAUUACUCAAAUAUGGGUGCAGAUUCAAAGGGUGUAGAGUUGUAGAGAUGGAAAAUGGAAUGUAGAAACUUGUAGGAUUUGUUCAGAUCAUUUUACCGAUGACGAUUAUGAAAGAGAUCUUCAAGUAAGAGGAAUUAUUAGGACUUGGAAACUAAGAAAAACAUUAAAAGCAAUUGGUAAAUAAUUCAAAGCUUUUUGGCUUUUUUGUAAUAUAAUAUUUUUAGUUACAUAGGUAUGAGUAGAAUCUUAUGUAAAAGUAAAAAACAGUCAGUCCACCUGACAAAAUUGAUCCAUUGAGGCAAAAACGAGUUGAACAAAGAAGAACACAAGUGGCGGUGGAGGAAUUACUAAUGAAAAAUUUCGAGGAAAGCAA